rnacentral:rRNA from 1 species
AUUGAACGCUGGCGGCAGGCCUAACACAUGCAAGUCGAGCGGAUGAAGGGAGCUUGCUCCUGGAUUCAGCGGCGGACGGGUGAGUAAUGCCUAGGAAUCUGCCUGGUAGUGGGGGAUAACGUCCGGAAACGGGCGCUAAUACCGCAUACGUCCUGAGGGAGAAAGUGGGGGAUCUUCGGACCUCACGCUAUCAGAUGAGCCUAGGUCGGAUUAGCUAGUUGGUGGGGUAAAGGCCUACCAAGGCGACGAUCCGUAACUGGUCUGAGAGGAUGAUCAGUCACACUGGAACUGAGACACGGUCCAGACUCCUACGGGAGGCAGCAGUAGGGAAUAUUAGACAAGGGGCGAAAGCCUGAUCCAGCCAUGACGCGUGUGUGAAGAAGGUCUUCGGAUUGUAAAGCACUUUAAGUUGGGAGGAAGGGCAGUAAGUUAAUACCUUGCUGUUUUGACGUUACCAACAGAAUAAGCACCGGCUAACUUCGUG